UCUUUACACACUAGUGAAUAUUAAGAUUUUUUGUUUGGGGAUGUGAGUGAUAAUAGUACGAAAGUAAGUACAUUUGGAACUUGUAUCCCCGAAUUUUGAAUUUAAACACUUUUGUUGAAAACCAAAUCUGAAAAAAAUGUUUUAAAAAUUAAAUUAAAACUUUCAACAACGGAUCUCUUGGUUCUCGCAUCGAUGAAGAACGCAGCAAAAUGCGAUAAGUAAUGUGAAUUGCAGAAUUGUGAAUCAUCGAAUUUUUGAACGCACAUUGCGCCUCUUGGUAUUCCAGGAGGCAUGCCUGUUUGAGCGUCAUUACUAAACUUAACAAAAGUAUUUUUGUAUUUUUGUUAGUAUUGAGAGAUGAGUUGUUACUACUACUAUAACUCUCUUUCGAAAUGUAUUGGUGUGACAAUAUUUUCUCAAGUUAAAAACGAAUUAGGUUUUUAAAUCGUUUUCCAAUGGGAGAUAUUUUUCAAGUUUCACCUUAAAAAUAUCAUAA
rnacentral:misc_RNA from 1 species